AGAGUUUAUAGUCCUGACAGUUGAACACUGGAUGGCUGACAGCUGUCCUUCAUCACAACAGAAGACACAGAAAUCCUCCUCAUCAAAAACAUGACUUUGAUCUGCGUCCUCAUCUGGACUCUCCUCUGCUGCUGCUUCACAGAAGUCAGAGGUCAGUACACAGUGACUCAGCCUUCAGCAGUGAGAGCUGAUCUUGGAGGAUCUGUCACUAUCAACUGUAGAACCAGUCAGAAUGUUUAUGUUUAUAGCGGCUCCCACUAUUUAGCCUGGUACCAACAGAAAGAUGGACAAACUCCUAAGCUUCUCAUUAAUCGUGCUAGCAUUCGAGAAUCAGGGACUCCAAGUCGUUUUACAGGCAGUGGAUCAAACUCUGACUUCACUCUGACCAUCAGUGGAGUUCAGGCUGAAGAUGCUGCAGUUUAUUACUGUCAGAGUUUUCAUUACCCCAACAGCCAGCAUGUGUUCACACAGUGAAAAACAGUCGUACAAAAACCU